ACGUCAAGUCCUCAUGGCCCUUACGGGUUGGGCUACACACGUGCUACAAUGGUGGUGACAAUGGGCCAAUCCCAAAAAGCCAUCUCAGUUCGGAUUGGGGUCUGCAACUCGACCCCAUGAAGUCGGAAUCGCUAGUAAUCGCGUAACAGCAUGACGCGGUGAAUACGUUCCCGGGCCUU
rnacentral:rRNA from 1 species